UUGUCGGUUGUGGUGGGAGUGGAGCUAGGGGUUGAGUUAGGAGUGGAGUUGUCAGUGCUGGGGGGAGUGGAACUGGGGAUUGAGGUGGGAGUGGAAUUGUCGGACAUGGUGGGGGUGGAGCUGGGGGUUGAGGUGGGAGUGGAGUUGUCGGUUGUGGUGGGAGUGGAGCUAGGGGUUGAGUUAGGAGUGGAGUUGUCAGUGCUGGGGGGAGUGGAACUGGGGAUUGAGGUGGGAGUGGAGUUGUCGCUCGUAGUGCGGGUGGAGCUGGGGUUUGAGGUGGGAGUGGAAUUGUCUGUUGUGGUGGGGGUGGUGGU